UUAGUAUUCCGUAGACAGUAGGUGCUUUAAAGCUUAAUUUCCUACCGAGGUAAAAAUCAUUUAAAAUGAUUAUCCUCUUUUGUCUUUAAACGAUGAAAGAGGUUUUUGAUUAAA
rnacentral:sRNA from 1 species